rnacentral:rRNA from 1 species
ACGCACGACCACAGACUGAGGAGUAUGGGGCAUCCCGUCCGCUCUGCCAUUUACAAGCCUCAGAUCGGCAGGUUAGUAGUUGGGUAGGUGACCACCAGCGAAUACCUGCAGUUGUAUGUU